UGUUUACUGGAGGGCAGAGAUGCAAACACAGCAAGGCCCCCAUGGCUGUCGGAGGGGAAGGCAACAGUGAUGGGUGGGGUGUGGGAGGGGAAGGCAACAGUGAUGGGUGGGGUGUGGGAGGAGAAGGCAACAGUGAUGGGUGGGGAGUGGGAGGCAGAGGAGGAAAGUUCCUGCCUCCAGAACCAGCCCUGCAUGUGACAGGCAUUUGUCUGAGGCUGGUCUUCAGCCCUGUGAGCAUUUCCAGUGAAAGAACUGAAGACUUGCAGGGUCAUCUCACUUGAAAUCUUUGCUAGAAUGGGCUCCAGUACUCCUAAGAAGCUCACGCUCUUCUUAGCUUCCUGUGCGUGGCCUGUCACUUGGCUUAAUACGCGGAGUAAGUAUGAUAUUCAAAUAGAAAGACCAUCAAUCCUUCAGAGGCAGACCAAGUCAUCAGACAACUAUGUGAAUUGCACAAUGGAAGCUUGUGGUCUCACAUCAUUCCCCCUUGGUGACUUGUGAGACCCAUGCACUUAUGCAGAACAUCAUGGCACCAGGAGCACCUAGAAGAGUCAUUCAGCUCGUGGAAGACAGAAAGCAGAGAAUGAUGGGAAGUGAGCAAUGACACUUUGUAUCCCUCACUCAUGAACCACCUUACUUCUGCCAUCUAUGCUGCAGGUCCUGCAGUCCCACAACCUCUAAAAACAGUGUUCCAAAUUGGAACAAGCAAUUGAAACAUAA